rnacentral:rRNA from 1 species
UCAUGGCCCUUAUGGGUAGGGCUUCACACGUCAUACAAUGGUCGGUACAGAGGGUUGCCAAGCCGCGAGGUGGAGCCAAUCCCAGAAAGCCGAUCGUAGUCCGGAUUGUUCUCUGCAACUCGAGAGCAUGAAGUCGGAAUCGCUAGUAAUCGCGGAUCAGCAUGUCGCGGUGAAUACGUUCCCGGGUCUU